rnacentral:rRNA from 141 species
AAAUUGAAGAGUUUGAUCAUGGCUCAGAUUGAACGCUGGCGGCAGGCCUAACACAUGCAAGUCGAACGGUAACAGGAAGCAGCUUGCUGCUU